GUGAAUACUUGUCUUGCAAAUCUUGAGAAAGUCUUGUGUAGGUGCGUGGAAAAGAACUUGGUCCUCAAUUGGGAAAAGUGCCAUUUUAUGGUGACCCGUCGAAUUGUGUUGGGUCACAUCAUCUCAUCUUAAGGAAUUCAGGUUGACAAAGCCAAAAUUGAUGUCAUUGCCAAAUUACCAACUCCAAAAACGGUGAAAGACAUCCGAUCAUUCCUAGGCCAUGUCGGCUUUUAUAGGAGAUUCAUUCAAAAUUUUAGCCUUAUUACAAAGCCUAAUCUCCUAGCCAAGGAUGUUCAAUUUGAAUGGAGUGCUAAAUUUGAAGAAGCUUUUUUGUCAAACUCAAAUUGAAUGGAGUGUGUCGAGAUUAUUGAAGAUUUCUUGCGGUGUGAGGGUUACCUCUUUACCUGAUGGCUUGAUGCUGUUCAGGCUGCUGUCGGAGAUCGAGGCUAAAAGAGUGUUGAAGGAUGGGAAGAAAAGAUGGGGGGAGGCAAUUUUAUACAUCAAUCAUUGGUGCUUUAGGGUGGGUUGCUCAGGGCUGUGGAAAAAGUGUAAGAAAAGGAGAAUUCACAUUCUAGGGUUACCAUUGCAUCUUUGGUGUCGGAAAUUGUUUGAAGCUAUUGGUGAUCUUUGUGGAGGGUUCCGUGAUGUUGAGGCCUAUGAGUGGUGUGACACAAACAAAGUUGUUGUAGUCGCUGAUGGUGGUCAGAUUCCGGAGUUUGUCAUUGUCGAAGAUGAUUGGGUCGCCUUUAAGAUUGCUCUGAUGGAAGAGAUUGCCCCAUCCCUGGUGGUGAAGCCCGAAUCUCUGAUUGAGAGGGAUAAAAGCUUAUUGAUUUCAGAGGAGGAGUGGAUCCGUGGUAAUUGCGGUCGGCGUGGCUCCAGUACGGCGAAGAACAGUUACGUAGGUUCAAAGGCAGGACCGGCCGCCUUGGGGCCCAUAGGGGAUGGAAAAAAAAUAAAUUCAAAAUAAAGUUAGGGCAAGUCAGCCUGCUUCGACACUCCGCAGGGCGCAGCCUCACCUAUCGCCUUAGGUGACAAGGGCCUCUCAAAAUAUUUGGAAUCUCAGGGCUGGCCCUGCCCAUAUCUUUCAGUUUCCAUCGCUCGCUGCUCCAGUUCGGGUUCACCGUUCGCAAGCUUCAGCCGCUGGCCCGCUGUCUCUCAACUCUCUUGCCCCCCUUUCUCUCUGCAACUGCUAACUUGUAUGUAUGGGUUUUGUUUUAAAUUUUUUUCUAAAUCAACUAAUCAAGGUCUGUAAUUCUCGUUAGCAAUGGAUAUGGGCAAUCCGGUGCGCUUGAGUAAUAACCAGUGGGAAUAUCUUAAUCUGGAGGCUGUGGUGGGGGACGGGCAUGAGAUGGGUUAGGAGUCCACUCGUAUGCGAGCUUGGCAUAGGUCUUCCUCGACGAUCUGAGAACGCCGGCGAUGGAGUUAGUGACAAUCUUCAAAACUUUUUGUUGCGAUGAAGGUUAUUUGGUGGGAGGUGCUGGAUUUGUCCCCUUUGAGAGUUCAAGAUGCACUUGAUCUGUUUGGUGCUUCAUUUGUUACUCUGUUUCUCUUUUCAUCAAGAGGUUUUGACCUUCCUUUAGUUCUUUUGUCCUAAAGUUGUAAUCCGAAGGUAUGUCUUUGCUUAUUAUACCCAUGUACGUUAUUUGUUCAUAUCUAUAACAAUAAUGAUAAUAAAUUUUUUAAUUUUUUUUUUACAAUUGACCUUUACAAAAGAAUAGGAUUAAAGAAGAAUAAUUUUUGGUAUAGCCCAAUUAGAUGCAUGGUCAAGCUACAACCAGGUGUUUAGGU